CAGCAGCCGCGGUAAUACGUAGGUCCCGAGCGUUGUCCGGAUUUAUUGGGCGUAAAGCGAGCGCAGGCGGUUUGAUAAGUCUGGAGUUAAAGGCUGUGGCUCAACCAUAGUUCGCUUUGGAAACUGUCAAACUUGAGUGCAGAAGGGGAGAGUGGAAUUCCAUGUGUAGCGGUGAAAUGCGUAGAUAUAUGGAGGAACACCGGUGGCGAAAGCGGCUCUCUGGUCUGUAACUGACGCUGAGGCUCGAAAGCGUGGGGAGCAAACAGGAUUAGAUACCCCAGUAGUCCCUGUCUCUUAUACA
rnacentral:rRNA from 1 species